rnacentral:rRNA from 1 species
CCUACGGGUGGCAGCAGUGAGGAAUAUUGGUCAAUGGACGAGAGUCUGAACCAGCCAAGUAGCGUGAAGGAUGACUGCCCUAUGGGUUGUAAACUUCUUUUAUAUGGGAAUAAAAUGUUCCACGUGUGGGAUUUUGUCUGUACCAUAUGAAUAAGGAUCGGCUAACUCCGUGCCAGCAGCCGCGGUAAUACGGAGGAUCCGAGCGUUAUCCGGAUUUAUUGGGUUUAAAGAGUGCGUAGGUGGAUUGUUAAGUCAGUUGUGAAAGUUUGCGGCUCAACCGUAAAAUUGCAGUUGAAACUGGCAGUCUUGAGUACAGUAGAGGUGGGCGGAAUUCGUGGUGUAGCGGUGAAAUGCUUAGAUAUCACGAAGAACUCCGAUUGCGAAGGCAGUUCACUGGACUGCAACUGACACUGAGGCUCGAAAGUGUGGGUAUCAAACAGGAUUAGAUACCCGGGUAGUC